UACGUAGGGUGCAAGCGUUAAUCGGAAUUACUGGGCGUAAAGCGUGCGCAGGCGGCUUUGCAAGACAGAUGUGAAAUCCCCGGGCUCAACCUGGGAACUGCAUUUGUGACUGCAAGGCUAGAGUACGGUAGAGGGGGAUGGAAUUCCGCGUGUAGCAGUGAAAUGCGUAGAUAUGCGGAGGAACACCGAUGGCGAAGGCAAUCCCCUGGACCUGUACUGACGCUCAUGCACGAAAGCGUGGAGAGCAAACAGG
rnacentral:rRNA from 1 species